rnacentral:rRNA from 1 species
CCUACGGGUGGCAGCAGUGAGGAAUAUUGGUCAAUGGACGAGAGUCUGAACCAGCCAAGUAGCGUGAAGGAUGACUGCCCUAUGGGUUGUAAACUUCUUUUAUAUGGGAAUAAAAUGUUCCACGUGUGGGCUUUUGUAUGUACCAUAUGCAUAAGGAUCGGCUAACUCCGUGCCAGCAGCCGCGGUAAUACGGAGGAUCCGAGCGUUACCCGGAUUUAUUGGGUUUAAAGGGAGCGUAGGUGGAUUGUUAAGUCAGUUGUGAAAGUUUGCGGCUCAACCGUAAAAUUGCAGUUGAAACUGGCAGUCUUGAGUACAGUAGAGGUGGGCGGAAUUCGUGGUGUAGCGGUGAAAUGCUUAGAUAUCACGAAGAACUCCGAUUGCGAAGGCAGCUCACUGGACUGCAACUGACACUGAGGCGCGAAAGUGUGGGUAUCAAACAGGAUUAGAUACCCGUGUAGUC